rnacentral:lncRNA from 1 species
CGAGGGUUCGGCCCUCAGUAGAUCGUCCCGGAGGGCAGCGCCAAGGGAUGCUGUAGGGAGCCGUGGGGCUGCAGGUGGGAGCCGAGGGGGCUGGCGGCGGGGUACCAGGCCGAGGGGCUCUCCAGGUAGCUGCCGGGGGACGGGUUGGCGGCGGGCGGGUGCCCGUGCCCGUGGUGGCCGAGGGAGCGCGACGAGCCCUGAGGUUCCCACACCGCCGGCGACUGCGGGGAGUUGCAGGCCAUGGGGUCGCUGGAGCUGGGGCUGUGCUCCGGGGGCAUCUCCCCGUUCUUCAUGAUCUUCUUGAUCUUGGACCUUUUGUUCUGGAACCAGAUUUUCACCUGCGUCUGCGUGAGUCCCAGCGAGGCGGCCAGCUCGGCCCGCUCGGGCAGGGCG